CACGGGGGGAGCAAGCGUUGUUCGGAUUCAUUGGGCGUAAAGGGCUCGUAGGUGGCUUUGUAAGUCGGAGGUGAAAGACCACGGCUCAACCGUGGAAACGCCUUCGAAACUGUGAAGCUUGAGGCUGGGAGAGGAAAUCGGAAUUCCUGGUGUAGCGGUGAAAUGCGUAGAUAUCAGGAGGAACACCGGUGGCGAAGGCGGCUAUCUGGACAGAGUCUGACGCUGAG
rnacentral:rRNA from 1 species